AGCAUGUAGUUUCAUCCCAACUCUACAGAAGUCUGGAAAAUACAGAGAGAACAUGGUAUAAAAUAAGUUCAACACUGGCAACCAUCUGAUAACCACAGAGAAAUGAGACUGAGGAUAAAACUAAUCUAAAGAGGAUACCAACGAAGCUGUAACCCUCCAGUUACAUAAACCAGUGUCCUGAGGGAGAAGCUGGUGCCCUUUAUCACACAGCUAACAACGCUCCUGGCCCAUGGAUCAGAGAAGUUGAAGGAAAAUACAGAGGAAGUUCUAACAGUGGCAGACCUAAUUACUGCACCAUGCCAAGCAGGUAAUCCAGCAGAAGAAAGGAAUGGAAUCUGAGCUAACCUACCAUGUUUGUACUGGAAGUCCUGCCAACAGCAUUUAAGGAGGCCUGGAGUGGUGACAGUUUGAGACAAGGACAAGAGCACCAGACUUCAGAACUUGACAUCCACAAAAUGUAAAUAAGAUGAAAGUUCAGCUCUGUCAUUUGACAUAUGAGUUCCGCCCUCUGCCCCUACUCCUAGCAACUCUCUGAGCCUCAGCUCUGCCUUCAGUAAGUCGUUCCUUUCCAUAAUAGGACAGUGGGAAGAUUUUUUGCUCAUAAAGAACAUGACUAUAGCUAUUGAUUUCUGGGAAAUGUUAAAACAACAAGGUUUUCAAUUCCUUUGUUGACAAGUGAAAAUAUUUUCUUUGUUAACUAAUGUUUCAGAACUGGGCUUUCUAUAUUGAAGAAAAAUUAAUGAAGAAAAAUAAAUCAAUUUUACAAAAUGUCCCUGAAAAAUUCUACCCCAAACUGUCCUGAGAUUUGCUAGUCAGCAAGCUUAACAUACAAUUUGAAAAAGAAAUAUGAGGUUGAAUCCCCAAGACAGUAAAAGAGUAGACAUCACGGGAGGACAUUAUUC
rnacentral:lncRNA from 10 species